rnacentral:lncRNA from 1 species
AAAACUUGAAAAAUAAAAUAAAAUAAAAUAUUACAGCUGAUCGAUUCCAUUUAAAUUUCUAAUAAUACCUUGUUAAUUUCUACCUAAAGCAUGUAUAUAUAAAAUAUAAAUAAUAUAAAGUGAAAUUUGUAUAUAAACUUCAAUUAAUUACUAGCAUCCUAAUCAUAAUAUAUGUAUAAGUAAUAUAUCUCUCAAAAUUCCAUUGAAGAUAAAAUAGGCUUCAUCAAUAAUUAAGUUAUGUUGCCUGGCUUGAGCCUGUGUGCCGUAAUUAAGAAGUUGUAGAAGAUAGAAAAAAAAACAAAUUAUGGAGUUAUUAUCACCUUCAUCUUCACCAUGUUUUCUUUCAUCUCUUGAAUUGGAUCCACCAUUAUAGGCUGAGUAGUUUUAGCUAGAAAAUCCUCUGAAGAAGCCAUGUACAUAUAGGAAGAAAAAGUGUUAUAUUAAUUUAAUUAUUGUAGGUGAAUAUAUAUGCAAUAUAAUGGAUCAACCUAUUCAUUUUAAACUUUUGUUCUUUGACUCAACCCUUCCAUUCCUUCCUAUAUAGCCAAACAAGUAAUCAUAUAUGUUUUUAAGUGGGUGAGAGUUCAAUUCUUUCAUUCUUUAAUGUAUGUGUUUCACUUGCAAAUAUAGAUGGACACACUCAUAGAUGUUGU